CCCAACAUCCGCACUGUACCGCUCGGCGUCGUCUACACCGGGACGCAGUGUUCCUCGUCCAAUGAUCUGCGAAGAUGGGGGCGAUGAAGCAGAGGGUGCACAGGGAGACAGCCAGAUGCAACGCGAGCUCACGGAGUCCUGGUGUCUGGUGCGAGCGGGAGCUGCUGAAACGAACCAGAAAAGGUGGCCGUGUAACUUCCUGCCGACGUCAACCGCGACAAGAGUGUGGAAAUCCACCAUUCCCUGAACACUUGGUCUACUUGAAAUUUAAUCAUAAUUAGAAAUGUUUGCAGCAAUAUUUAUGUGUUAAAAUUUCUGUAAUUGUGUAAUAGAGCAUGAACACUUGGUCUACUUGAACUGGUAGCAGCAAAUGAUCUUCUUAGUUUCUGUAUUCACAUCCAUGAUUGGAGUGGAUGUAGAUGGACCUUUGACCUUUCCUUGUUUGCAUUUCCAAUAUAGGGCUCUAGUUACUUACGUUCGAUGAAACUAC